ensembl:lncRNA
AUGGUGCAACUUGCUGUGUCCGUCAAGGGAUGUCCCAGGAGGGGCUCCAGCGCCUUCCCUGGAGAGGAGGGGCUCCAAGGCUGUUGCACACGUGACACUAAACCCUGUACUGGGGCUUCCACGGUGACUCACCCUGCCCUCUGCUUGACCCUGGCCAAGCUCUCCUGGGGUCUGCCAAGCACCCCACUCCCUCACUGCGUGGCCCCGUUUCAGGGCGUGAACUACCUGGAAGACCAGCGCUUGGUGCACCGAGACCUGGUGGCCAGGAACGUCCUGAUGAAGACAGCGCAGCACGGCAAGAUCACAGACUUUGGACCAGAAUGCUUGGUAAUGAGGAGUACCACGCAGAAGGAGGCAAAGGAAAGCCCUUCUACUGCGGUGGACGCCCACAGGGACAAUGCGUCACCGUUUGAAGGCACCCAAUGUAUUGUGAUCAUGUUCGGCCCGGCCAAGCUCCAAACAGGCUGGAGGAAGGAGAAGAGGCAACUGUUCCUUUCUUCAGAAAGAAGGGACAGAUGGCGCGCCUUCCUUGAGAGGUACAUCGAUCUGGCCAAGGAGAAGGAGCAGCCAAAAAGCAUUCCCCUCAAAAUCUUUACCGAGGACAUCAAUAACUGUGCCUGUGUAAGUGUUUUCAGGACCAUUAACUUAAAUUCCAGGUCCCUGACUUAGUAAAAUCAAAGGGAUAGAGAGACAGAGAAAGAGAGGACAGGGGAAUGGAAGGGACAAAAUAAGAAAGGGGAGGGAGAGAGAGAGUAUUUAGAAAGUACUACAUGGGAACAUGGAUUUUUCUGGGAAAAUGUGUCCUUGCAUAUAUAAAAAGUGAGUCCUAGGCAAUAUGAAGCAAGAAGAACCCACCAGAGAGACAGCGCUUAAGCAUGGAAAGAACAGUGUCUUUAAAGUGUCCAUACUAUGUCUCCGGGUCCUUCUAACAGCAAUUACACUGGCUUGUAAUACAGAGAUUUUCACAAACAGGUAUUUCCUAUUGGUAUUAAACAUGGUCUUCUAACUGUACCACCACUUACAUAAUUGUAGUUUGGGUUGUUUCCAGUUUUUAUUUUUUCUGUGAUGUAAUAUCUGGAAUAACUGAAAACUUGCAGAAAAGUCACAAAAAUAAAAAUAAUACAAAGACCACCCCAAAUACCCUUUACCUAGACUCACCUAUUUAGUAAUGUUUUGCCUGAUUUCUUGCUGUCCCCUCUAUUACCCUCUGUACGUGUAUGUGUCUAAGUAUUUCUGAGGAUCGUAUACACACCAUGGCCUGUUACCCUUAAACACUUAAGGAUAUUCUCUCAAGCAACAGCCAGACAGCUAUGACUUACAAAUUUAACACUGACCAUUCAUGUCCCCACUGUAUCAUUAACUGAACCAGCUGUGAUGUGCUGCGGACCAGCCCGUGUGCCCUCUUGGAAUUCUCAGCCUUUCUUUCUAGCUUAAGCUGUCAUAUUUUGUGCACCACAAAUCCUUUCAAAGAAACACCUAUUUUACUGAAAUGCUGUUUACUAACUUCAUGUUAUAGAAACAAAUGAAUGUCAGUUUUAAUUAGGGGGCUGGGCUCUACAUGUGCUGCACUGUGUCACUGCCUGAAUGCAAGCUUUGCCUGUAGAAUAUGGAUCCUAAUUUUACAGUAACUAUUUACUCACCUGUUUUAAUUUUUUUUAAUUUAGAGCAAUGUUUCUCAUUUUUUUAACAGUCUAUAACAAUAAGAAUAUUGAAUACACACACAGUGAAUGAUGUCAUCAACCUGUCACUCUCAAAGCUAGGAAUCACUGUAAGUUACCUGCAAGUUCUUUUUAGUUAGAAUCCAAGUUUAUUUUUGAGAGGGGUGUGUGUGUGUGUGUGUGUGUCUGUGUGUCUGUGUGUGUCUGUGUGUAUGGUGUACCUCCCAUCAUGAGACAGCGGACUAUUACAAACAGGCAAGUCAUAUUCUGUCCCCCUGAAUUUAGAAAUUGAAAGCAGCAGAGCCAGAUUAUCAGCCUGUACAGUAGUGUUAGUCUUGUAGCCCCGUUAAAAUUCUGUGCGAGUUUAAAGUGAUAGCAUAACGAAUGCGGGCGGUAACUUUAGAGAACUAGUACCGUCCUCUUUACUGUAUACAUUACAUACCAGAUGGGAAAAUACUUGUAUGAGUCCAGAUAGUUCCUACUCCACUGGACUGUUCUUUCUGUAUCUUUGUCCCUAUACCUCCACUCCAAUCCGCAUUUAUCCUGAUUCUCACCUGAGGACUCAAUCUUGCUAUGAUAAAUCCUAAAUGAGGUGCUUUCCUGUAAAGUUUGACAUGAAGAUCACUGGCUAGAAGCGACAUCCCCUUGAGGCAGGUCCUGAGGAGGAGACGGUUAAUGCCUCUUGUCAGCUGGUAAAGGAGACAAGUUGUGAAUAAGACCGUGGAUCUGAGGACGUGUGUGUACACACUGCUUUCACCUUGUCUUGCCUUCCAGUGUCUGCUCCUUCAUGUUUUGCUAGGUCUGCUGUCACUUGUAAAAUUUUUCUGGUGAAAGACAUGGCUGUACUAGAGGAUGAAGUUGUGCAAGGGAAAAACGGCAGGGGGGCUGACAUUCAGAUGGACAGAACUGAAGUAAACAUAUCUGCUUACAUACCAUUCUCUGUAAAUGGGAAAACAUCCUGUUACUGUGACAUGACAAGCACAGGACCUGCGACCAACACCCUUUCACACAUGUGUUGCUCUAUGUUCCCCUGGAGGACUCUUAACAAUAAUGCAGCAGCCCUUAUGAUUUAGACUUGUUUCAAAUGGCAUUUCUAGAAUUUCUAGGCAGUCAUUCUGCUGGGAGAGAGUUUUUUGCGUCUCACUUGUGCUCUAGGUCAGAGUCCUUGUCCCCCGUCCCCCUGGCGCGGGGCUGGAUGGCACUAAAGCCCCUGGGCUGACUUUUCUUUCCCGUCUCAAGGCCUCUUGGGCACUUCCCUCCUUUCGCUCACAGCUGCCGAGCCGAUGCUGCCUUCAAGUUUUUCUUGCACAAGAACAGUCUUGGCAGAGUACGUGGCUCUGGACAACAUGCUUGUCUGGGGGCAUUUACAGGAAAGGCCAACAUUCUCUAAGGAGUCUGGAGACAGUAAAAAGGAAGACUCUUGAGAUUAGACUUUCCCUCCACAGCGAAGGGGCACUGCCAUGACUUUUUUAUGUCAUGGACCACCCACAAAGGACAGGGCUGUUCACACUGUGGUUCCCUAGAUCCUCAGCCUUUAUCAAAAGGGACAAAAAGCUCACUUGGCCUGUUGGAGGCUGCAAGAAGGACCAGGAGUUAUUACUGGUAUCAGGACUGCUAACUCAAAAACUGUUCCACCCCCCUGGAUGAAAUACCAUUUCUACGGGCCCAAAUUCUUUCUUUUUGGAAAUAUGUAAGUGCUGAAGGAAAGUGCUCAAGUACCUACUGGGAAAGAUCUGCAGUGACACAUAGUUCUUUUCUGUCUCCAAGGGCUCUGAGAAAGACUACCAGCUGUGGGUGACUGCUGGCAAGAAAAAGGCCUCAUACCCACUCACUGGUAAGUGUCAGGGAAACCUAAGGUGGGCUGAUUGCAGAAGAAACUGUAACCCUAAACUCUCAAAGUGACAGUUAGUCAGUCUGAAGCUUAAAUAUCCUCAACAAUGAAACUCUCAUGCGAUACUCAUUCUACAUUUAUUCGAUAACCCCAGGCACUUGCUCUGCCAGCAUGGAUAUUAACAUCUCUUCAUUCUCCAGCUUAUAGUCUAGUUGGAGAGAGAAAGUGAAUUUUUCUUCACUACUUUUUUCCUUGACAAACAGAGCUAUCUUGGAAAACUUUAUUAACUUACUUACUCAUUUCCUUCCUUCAUUACAUAGGCAAGAAAACAACACAAAUCGGAAUAUCUUUCCCUCACACAUUAUUUUCCAUAUUCCAGUCUUCAAGUUCUCUGUUCCAUUUCCCAACCACUAAGUAUUCUCUAUUUUAUGAGAAUCUUCUAAGAUCCAGCCAUGCCUCUGAAUCCAAUAUUUAGUUAACACCUGUUCCAUGCCCAAAACUUUUCUCAGCAUCAGAAAAGAAAAUGACAUAAUCACACUCAGACUCUUCAAGCCUUCACGGCCCAAACCACCUGCACUUGGCCGUUUCUCCAGCUGACUUUACCAGCAUUCCUCUUGAGCUUUUUAUAAAUACAUCACACUUCCCCUAAAACAGUUACUAGAGCAAAUGAGCUCAAAUAAUGAUACCUAUCCUUGGAUCAGGAAGUCUGUGCAGGGCGGUCCAUGAAAAUAGAGGGAUUAAAACAAGGGGAAGGGCAGGGUCUGCAGCAGACCCCGCAAUACAGUAACAGAACAGCGACUCCUGCUAGAAAACCUAGGGCCUCCAUCUUACAAGCAGUAUCUUUCUUUCUUUUUUUUUUUAAUCCAUUUAAAAAUCCUAUGGGGCUAUUACUCUUUUUCUAGUGAUCUCAAGAACAUUUUCAAACGAUCUGGAAAAUCCAAACAACCAAGCUUUUCCUAUGAAGUGUACAUUCCUAGUCUUAGAAUAUAUGGGGUCAUCAAGCACAUAGCUGAGGACUAAAGUCCCCUCCACUAUUCAUGAUUCUUUUUAAUG